rnacentral:rRNA from 1 species
GACGAACGUUGGCGGCGUGCUUAAUACAUGCAAGUCAACUGAAGCAGUGGUAGCAAUAUCGCUGUGGAGGUGGCGCACGGGUGAGUAACACGUAGGUAAUCUGCCUUCAGGUCUGGCAUAACUCCGGGAAACCGGGGCUAAUAGCAGAUGAUGCAGCGGCUCGACAUCGAGACAGUUGUUAAAGCUAUGGCGCCUGAAGAUGAGCCUGCGUCUGAUUAGCUAGUUGGCGGGGUAACGGCCCACCAAGGCAACGAUCAGUAGCUGGUCUGAGAGGAUGAUCAGCCACACUGGAACUGAGACACGGUCCAGACUCCUACGGGAGGCAGCAGUAAGGAAUAUUGCUCAAUGGGAGAAAUCCUGAAGCAGCAACGCAGCGUGAGGGACGAAGGGCUUUUGCUUGUAAACCUCUGUAGUGAGAGAAAAAAAUCCCAAUCUUUGGGACAUGAUGGUAUCUCAAAAGUAAGCCCCGGCUAACUACGUG